AAUACUAGCCAAAAAGGCUAGCAAUUUCCAAUCCAAUUAUAAGACAUGAUUCAACAAUCAUGGAUUUGCAAACACAUGCCAUAAAAUAUUUUUGAUGUACACAACAUUUUCAUUCUAAGAAUCCACUAAAAAAAUACUAGCCAAAAAGGCUAGCAAUUUCCAAUACAAUUAUAAGACAUGAUUCAACAACCAUGGUUUUGCAAACACAGACCAUAAAAUAUUUUUGAUGUACACAACAUUUUCAUUCUAAGAAUCCACUACAGCAUCAAAGGAGAAGGCGGAGGGGCGGUGCCGAUGGUGCGGGAGAUGGGGCAGCGAUGACAGAGGUGGCAUGCAGUCAGUAUAAUGAACCAAAGAUCCUACACAUAAGGAUGAAUAUGUAAUAUAUAUACAAUGCAUCUACCAAAGGUAAAUCACCAAAAUGUUACAAGAAAUACUUCUACCGGGAGGCAAACAAAGAUUUUCAUUGUAAAUGAUCUGAUGUUCGCACUGCAUAGCUGAUACAAUAGGAUUUCUUCACAUUAUUCAAUUACUGGGAAGGAUCAAUUACACAUAUGGAUGAACUACUAGUACAGGAGUAGCUUGCUGCCAACACUACUAGCUAGCUGCCAACACUACUAGCUAGCUAGAUUAAACACCAACAGCUAACAAAACCUAGCUGCAGUAACCAACAACCACAAAUGAGGUAGUACAAGAGCAGAAUUUAACAAGUGUGCUACUCUGAAUCAUCAUCACUGUAAAUAGGAAUGAUCUUUCUCAUGGCACAAGCACGACAAGCACAAACAAAAUCACCCAUGCGCAUGAAACAGAGCAAGGUACUGCUAUAGCAGCACAAGAGAGGGAGCUAGAGGUAGGAGAUUGACUCACUGGAGAGGAGGUUGUAGUCGAUGCCGAACACGACCGCGGCCGCAGUCGCGCGGUAGAGGAGGUUGUAGCCGAGUUGGACCAUGUGCGGGGUGUCGUCGUGGCGGUGGACGCCCUGGUUGUCGUCAUCAUCCACGGAGGAUGCCUGCUGCUCCGAAUCAAACGAACAAGUCAGAGCUAGUGUUGUUGAGCUAGUACAGAAAUUAAACAAGCUAGUAUAGGAGACACAGGCGUGCUAGUGCUAGUAUCUACAUAAAUCAAUCGAGCUAGCUAUGCGUGUGCGUGAGCUAGCUUAGUACGUACAGUACAUGGUUGUGCUCCAAAACAAACAAAGAAUGCUAGCCUCAACAGAAUCAAUCACAAGGUUAUUUUUUUUUGUUACUAGCACUGCUAGUUGUAUGUGUUGAUCCAUCCGGACCUAACUAAUGUUGUUGUAUCUCUAGACCAAGUGCAGCAACACAAGAAGAAGAAUUAAAACUGUAGAGCACAUAUAUACAUAUGACGAACUACAGAACUAGCACUACAUUUUGCACAUGAUAGAAUUAAUCAUGAAUGGUUCCGGCAGCAGCACGAACAGAGCAAACAGAGAGGCGUGAGGAAACUGAAUCAAAUCAAAUCAAACAUCAAAGGCAGAGACAACAGCCAUUUAUUUUGUAGCAUCUUGAGAUAACUUGAGAAAUCCAACCAGACCAAUUCAUAAGCUAAAUUCUACUACAUUUUUGGGGUAGCAAGCAAAAUAUACUUAAAAGCAGAGUCAAUUCAAACUGGAGAUGGACUCUAGUUCAUCAAUGGAUGAGUGGCAUUAACUGUUUGAACAUCACACCGUCACAGCAACAAAAGCAGUACCAAGACAAGUGCAUCAGGUGUUCCAUUUAGCACAAACACAAACUUCAGUGCUAUAAAAAAAAUACGUACAUGGCUAGUUCACUAGUCAUGCAAAUUUGCAAUAUAUGCAAAGAAGUUUCAAUCGAUCGAUAUUAUGCAAGAUACGCCUAGCCUGGUUGCAGCAACCAACAAGGGCAAUCCAAACUGAGAGCUAGCUAGCUAGGAGCAGUGGCGGAGCGUGACCAAAUCUCAAGAGGGGGCCGACUUUAUAUAAGAACACACAAUAUGCAUUAAAAACUCCGCUAAGUUGUACGUAGAACAUAUGCAAGGAGCCAAGGACAAUUAGGCAACCAUAUCAUCAUAAAUAACACAAUACAGCAGGUUCACACAUACCUGAGCAUUGUGGAUAGGUAAAUUUUGGUGUUCCAAAAGAACAGACCACACCAAAUGACCAAAAGACAACUAAACAUAACCAACUAGCACUACUGCCAACUAGAGAUAUGCUCUUCUAUUCUUCCUACUUUUGAAAUCAGCAAUCAUAUCUUCACAAGCAAUUUUUGAUGCAAAUCUCCACUUGCAUCUUCCGUCAUAUCUAAUAAGUCGACUAGGUAGACAUCAAAGUUACCAGAACAUCUCAACUCGUCACAAUGACAUAUAAAUUAACACAAGAAGACAAGCAGUGACUAGCAGCAGUGGUGACAAGAACAUUUAAAAUCUGCACCUAGCAAUCUGCAUCUAAAAUCUGCACCAAGCCUAGGAGGACCCAGCAGUGGAGUGUGACAGCAGUAGCACCCAUUCAAAAUUCAGUCAAGCAUGUGUAUAAGUAAAAAAUGCAGAGCUGAGCAGAGCAGCAGCAAAUUGAGAGCAAGCCUAGGAAAUUGAGGAGGACAAGGGAGUCAUGGAGGGGAAGGAAAACCUCUCGCUUGAGGUUGGGUGUCGUUCCGAGAGAGAGGAUGCACGCCGGGGAAGCAGGACUCCUCCUCUCCCUUGUCCCUGCAUCGA
rnacentral:lncRNA from 1 species